AUUAUGAAAGCCAAAAAAUUAUGGCGGUAUUUUAAGCUUUUCAGAGGAAUUUGCUCUUUAAUGGAUAAAACACCUAAAUCUUACUUAAAUUUGUUAAUUCAAUUUGUAUACCACUAUAAAAACAAUUUAUAACUUUAAUUGUUGGUAUUUAUUAAAUUAAAAUAUAUUAAGUCAAGGUGCAGUAAAAAUUUAAGGAUGAAGUGAAUUACAUUACUUUUUAGAGAAAUAAAUUUAAAAUAAUAUUUAGGAUUUGAAAGUAAAAUUAAAAUAUAAUG
rnacentral:rRNA from 1 species